rnacentral:rRNA from 1 species
UACAGAGGUCUCAAGCGUUGUUCGGAUUCAUUGGGCGUAAAGGGUGUGUAGGUGGCGCCGUAAGUCGGGUGUGAAAUUUCGGAGCUUAGCUCCGAAACUGCAUUCGAUACUGCGGUGCUUGAGGACUGGAGAGGAGACUGGAAUUCAUGGUGUAGCAGUGAAAUGCGUAGAGAUCAUGAGGAAGACCAGUGGCGAAGGCGGGUCUCUGGACAGUUCCUGACACUGAGACACGAAGGCCAGGGGAGCAAACGGG